AUGCUUACAUUUAGAAUUCAUCACUUCUCUAGUUCUGGAACAAGGGAAUACACGGGUUCAGCCUAUUAUAUUCUCAUCCCUAUACCUUGAUAUUGACACGCACGCGACCACGUGAGGUCCACCGCCGGAGCAGCUUGUCAUCGUGCCGUGCUUUGCCAUGGUGGUGUAAUCACUCCUCUCUCCUCCGAUCUCAAGCCGGAUAGCCCGGAUGAGAUGGAGAGGAUCGAGGCGGCAAGACAGGAGGAGGCAGAGUGAUUUACUGGGACGGUGCGAGAGUGCCGGGCGUGAUGCCGAUGUCCAGAUCCAUAGGAGAGCAUUCAACACAAGAACAACAACGAGAUCCAAAACUAAACCUUUUUUUUUUUCUAUUAAAAAAAAAUUUUUGUGCGUGUAUAUAUAUAUAUUUAUAUAUUUUGUUGGAAUUUCUAUGAGGAGAAAAUUAGAAAUCUAAGAAAACAUGUUCUAAGAAAGCUUGAGUUUUGAUGCUGCUCUUCUGUCAAGUGUUGCCACUCCACUUAAACCUGCAUUCAUUUUUUUUUUUUUUACUUUGAGUCAUGAGAUGCCAUUGAAUUAAUUCAGUUAUAUAUGUCAUGCAUAUCUACAUAAAGUUUGAGAAUAGUAAAUGAAAGAGUCUUAUAUCAAGUGAUGAUAUACACAUGAGUAAUUAGUUUAUCUAUGUAACAAUGUAAUGUACAAACUGUUUAAUUUCUUAAAUAAUCAAUUAAAUUACUGAAAUUUUUGUACCCGGCUCAGAUAUCAAAUGAGCUUAAUUAGUUUUCUCAUCUGAAUUGUAAAUGGAGCAAAGGAAUCAUAAGUGUUUAGGAAGAUUCAGGUAUGUUUUUAGUUUAAUAAGUCUUCAACUGCCAAUUUAAUAUUCAUGGAGAGUUUCAACCAUUAGUUUCUGAUUACUUUUGCAUUUUCUGCAGUUCAUAAAUGAGCCACAUUUCUGCCAGGGGAUGUUUAACUUUGAAUGCAAGAUCAUUCAAGUGGUUGUGGAGCUGGAGAGAGAUCACGAUCGACGGGGCGGUUGUGGAGAAAAAUCGCAAUCAUCGAGGCUGUUGAGUGAACGGUGAGCAGCAAACGACCGACGACUAUUUAACGAAAUACUGAAUGGAGUCAGAUUCACAACCAAGGGGUCGGGGACAAAACAAGCAUUAUUGGACUGUGGAAGAAGACAAAGCCCUUAUUGAUGCGUUAGUUGAGUUAUCUACAAAUACAUUAUGGCGGGCGGAGAAUGGGUUUAGAAAUGGUUACCUUAACCAAUUGGAAAAAAUGGUUAAAGAAAAGAUUCCAACGAGCACCUUGAAAGCAUUUCCCAACAUCGAGUCUCGGGUAAAAUUGUUUAGAAGCAAGACUACUGCAAUUGCCGAUAUUUUACAAAUAAGUGGCUUCAACUGGAACUAUGAGCGAUGCACUAUUGAAUGUGAAAAAAGUGCAUAUGAUGAGUAUGUUAAGAAUCAUAAGGAAGCAAGUGGUAUGUAUGGCAAGGCUUUUCCUUUCUUUAAUGACUUGGUUGCAGUCUUCGCAAGAGAUAGAGCUCAAGGAAGUGCAAGAGGGGAUAUUGGGGAUGAUGCAGAGCAGUAUUCACAUGAGAACAUCACUUUGGAUGAUGACACAUGCUUCUUUGAAAUGGCGAGUAAUGAUUUUGACAUGGCUACAGAGGAACCUAAUCCGGCCCCAUCGCCUAUAGGAUCAGAGACAAGCACCUCAAGAGGACGUCAAAAAAGAAAAUCUCCCGUGGAUCCAUCAAUGGAUAAAAUAUCUUAAAAUUUUCAAAAUUUCGUGGAAAUUCUUGGUCCAGGGUUUAAGACACUAGUUGAAGCCACAGCACGUGAGGUGCAACGUGAUGAAGCUCGUGAGGUGACCCUUCAAGCUCGUGAAGUGGCCCUUCAAGCUCGUGAGAAGGCUCAUGAAACUGUUCUUGCUGAAAUUCACCAAAGAAAAAAUUUACUGCCUCAAGUAAUUUUUGAAAUUGAAGGUCUUUCUGAUGAUGAGGCGAUGUUCAUCCUACAGGUUUUGCCUAAUGAUGAUGAUCAAAUGAAAAUUUUUUUUGGGUUGCCCGAGAACAAAAAGUUGCGUUUUUGUCGUGUGUUGUUAUCAAGGUUGGGCUAUACCCCACCUAGUAUGUAAUCUCUUUGGUUUUAUGUAAUUUGAUCGGAUGGUUAUAAAUAUUUUGAUGUUUGCAUGUUGAAUGAAUGAUGUUUGU